rnacentral:rRNA from 1 species
UACGUAGGGUGCGAGCGUUGUCCGGAAUUAUUGGGCGUAAAGAGCUUGUAGGCGGUUUGUCGCGUCUGCUGUGAAAAUCCGGGGCUCAACCCCGGACUUGCAGUGGGUACGGGCAGACUAGAGUGUGGUAGGGGAGACUGGAAGUUCCUGGUGUAGCGGUGAAAUGCGCAGAUAUCAGGAGGAACACCGAUGGCGAAGGCAGGUCUCUGGGCCACUACUGACGCUGAGGAGCGAAAGCAUGGGGAGCGAACAGG